rnacentral:rRNA from 1 species
ACUCCUACGGGAGGCAGCAGUGGGGAAUUUUGCGCAAUGGGCGAAAGCCUGACGCAGCAACGCCGCGUGAGUGAUGAAGGCUUUCGGGUCGUAAAGCUCUGUCGAGGGGAAAGAAGUGUAUUGUGGCUAAUAUCCACGAUACUUGACGGUACCCCUAAAGGAAGCACCGGCUAACUCCGUGCCAGCAGCCGCGGUAAUACGGGGGGUGCAAGCGUUGUUCGGAAUUAUUGGGCGUAAAGAGCGUGUAGGCGGUUUGUUAAGUCUGUUGUGAAAGCCCUGGGCUCAACCCAGGAAGUGCACUGGAUACUGGCAGACUUGAAUACGGGAGAGGGUAGUGGAAUUCCUAGUGUAGGAGUGAAAUCCGUAGAUAUUAGGAGGAACACCGGUGGCGAAGGCGGCUACCUGGACCGAUAUUGACGCUGAGACGCGAAAGCGUGGGUAGCAAACAGGAUUAGAUACCCUGGUAGUCCACGCCGUAAACGAUGAGAACUAGGUGUUGCGGGUAUUGACCCCUGCAGUGCCGCAGCUAACGCAUUAAGUUCUCCGCCUGGGAAGUACGGUCGCAAGACUAAAACUCAAAGGAAUUGACGG